rnacentral:lncRNA from 10 species
CUGAGAGUACCUACCACAUAGAGUUAUUGCAACAAUUACAUGAGCUAAUGCAGAUUAAUUCAAAGCCUGAGACAAAUUAGCUUUUAUUUUAUUUUAUUUUAUUUUGGAGACAGGGUCUCGCUCUCUCACCCAGGCUGGAGUACAGAAGCAUGAUCUCGGCUCACUGCAGCCUUGACCUCCCAGCCUCAAGCAAUUCUCCUGCCUCAGCCUCCCAAGUAGCUGGGCCCACAGUCAUGUGCCACCACACCUGGCUAAUUUUUAUAUUUUUUUGUACAGAUGAGGUUUCAUGUGCUGCCCAGGAUGAGCCACUGUGCCCGGCCAAAUGAGCUAUUUAUGAUGAUCAUAAGGACACAAGAUAAGGAAAUCCAAUCAGUUGCUACGUGCUGAUGAUUCUGAUUCUGGCCCUGCAGUAUCGCUUGCAUGCACCUCCUCCUCCCUGUGCUCACUGCUGGAGAAAAGAGAACCUUGGCUGAUGAUUUAUGGAUCUACAAGGAAGCCGCCAGUGUCUAAGAUGUAAGGCAUUCAGAAAAUUGUGCAGAUGAUGGAUUCACAGUACCUAGAAUCCCCAUGACUCAGUUUUCCACAAAUGUGCUAUUUGGGGAAAUGCACACAGAUCAGCAACUAUUCACUUUUGCUGGCAGCACAAACAUUGCUGACACGCACUCUUCCAAAUUGCAAGCAGUUUCCACAGUGAAAACAAUGAGAACAGAAUCACAGCAUUAAACAGUUGGCCGGGAAUUUUAGAGAUAACUUAAUCUACCCCUUUGUUCUGGACACAGUCCUGUUUUAAGCUGUUUUGAAUAGAUAAAAAGUCCAUGUUAUUUUAAUAGGUCUUCAUCAGUAACCGUCUUCAAAUAUGACCACUCUCCAAAUUAGACAGUAAUUCCUCCAGUCUGGACCAGACAGUAGGGUUUCCUAGCCCAGAGCAUUUGUCGACUUUCUCUUGUUGGUAAACAGCCAAUUUCAAGGGUUUACCCAUCUCUUCCCUGUAUGUCUCGGGAUUAAAUUCUGAUCUGUCUCAGCUUGCCAGUGACUGGUUUGGAGGGGGAAAGUGACCCAGUUCUGUGAAAUAAAACCGUGGCAGGUCAGGCAAGGGGAGCUCCUAGAUGCUUUUCUUGCUCCUAAAAGAAGACCUGUAGAAAAGCAGGUCAUAGCUGCCAUAGCUCCCUUGCCUCCAUGAAGAGAACCAGCCAAAGAUAAGGCCAUCAUAAUGAUGGUGGCAGAGCACAGAUAUGGAAAAAAUAUGGGUCUUUUUUUUUUUUUUUUUGAGACAGGGUCUCCCUCUGUCACCCAGGCUGGAGUACAGUGCCACAAUCUCCACUCAUUGCAACCUCUGCCUGCCAGGCCCAAGUGAUCCUCCCACCUUGGCCUCCUGAAUAGCUGGGACUACAGGCUCAUGCCACCAUGCCCGGCUAAUUUUUGUAUUUUUUAUACAGACAGGGUUUCACUAUGUUGCCCAGGCUGGUCUCAACUUCCUGGGCUCAAAUGAUCUAUCCACCUAGGCCUCCCAAAGCUCUGGGAUUAUAGGCAUGAGCCAUUGUGCCUGGCCAGAAUCUGAGUCUUUGAUAAUAUUAUUGAGACGCUGAAUCAACCAACCUGAAACCACCCUACCUCAGAAUUUUUUUGCUAUGUGAACUAGUAAAAUGUCUUUAGUGUUUAUAGAUUGAUGACUAGAAAUCAGUGGCUUUUUUUGUUUUUUUUUUUUGGUUGAGAAUUUUACUGUAGAAUGACAUUCAAGAUUCCAUUCACAGGUAAAAGUCAUUCCAGAGAAUGGAACAAUAUUUGACAUGCAAGCAUUUAAAGAAAGGAGAGGUAAACAGUGGUAACUACUUCGGAUUCACUGAGACCAAGCGUGCCAAGCUAAACAUUCCUUUUUUGAUAGGAUUAGUAGAUUACAUGCCGGAGGAAGUCACCACCAUCACAUAUUGGAUUUCAGCAAGCAUUUGAUAAAAUUGCUUAUAAUAUUUUGGCCAAUAUUGGAUGGAAAAAUAUUGAGGAGAUGAUGUAGUGCUGAAGAAAGACAAGAUGCUGAGGAAGACAAGACUGGUUAACAGAUCAUGGCAUUUUAAAGGUUCCAUGAAGAAUGGACCGCAGUGUAGAACUGUGUUUGGACAGAAAAGGUAUAAUCUUAUGGAAAUAGACCGAGUGGGGAAUCCCAGCAAGGCCUGUCUGUUAAGGUUCUUCCUGGCCUCUCUGUGCAGCUGUCUUCCUUCCAGGUAUGAGGCAGAACCCUUUUUGGAAUGAGUGUCUUAUGACCUAUCGUUAAACAAUGUAAGUCAGAGAUUUCUUUAUGGCCAGGUCUUACACAGGAAGGUCGGGGAGUGGCAGGAGGUUAGAGUAAUGUUUUUAGGUUUUAUGGCUGGCUUUGAGGAACAGGAGUUCUAGUUUCUAUAACACACCUUGGGGAAGAAGGAUUAUAGUUUUUAUGGCUAGCCUCGGGGGAGACUGAUGGGCCAGAGACAGGAGGGAAGGAGAAGGUCAGAGAGAACUUGCUUCUGAGGCUACCUCUGAGGCCUUCACUUUGGGAUAUUGUUUUCUGAGCCACAACAAUCUCAUAAAUAUAUACAACUAUAAUCUGUCAAUUUACAAUUAAAAUAAAUUUUAAAAAAUAAAGAUACUGUGACAGGUAACAAACAGAUACAUGGUUCAGGCAAACAAAGAGGAUGGGGGAGGUUGGCAAGUGUCUAAUGGGAAUGGUGGGCACACUAAUAAGUGGGCAGUGUACUUGAGUCAGGAGCAAAUGGUAGUCCUCGGCAGGCAAGAAUGGGCACCACAGAAAGAUGGACAGGCCACAGGCUUGUAAUUUUAGUAUUGGGGUAUGGGUGGGGAGAAGUCUCUGCAUGAGGAUAUAUGCAAAAUGGAUGAAAAGAUCCCAAGUUUAAACAUGUUUUUAAAAAAAUAUAAAGGUACUCCAGUUAGAGAAUAAUGGGGAUAAAAAGCAGUUUAUUGAAACGGUAAUUUCAGAAAGCAUUGGCCAGGUGCAAUGGCUCAUGCCUAUAAUCCUAGCACUUUGGGAGGCCAAGGCAGGAGGAUCACUUGGGGGCAGGAGUUCAAGACCAGCUAUGAGUUUGGGCAACAUAAUGUGACAUCAUCUCUACUAAAAACAAACAAACAAACAACAACAACAACAAAAAAAAAACAAAAAAAAAAAACAUUAGCUGGUUGGUGUCGCACAUGCCUGUGGUCCCAGCUAGUCGGGAGGCUGAGGCAGGAGGAUCACUUGAGCUGGGGAGGUCGAAGCUGCAGUGAGCUGUAAUGAUGCCGCAGCAUUCCAGCCUGGGCCACAGUUAGACCCUGUCAAAAAAAAGAAAAAGAAAAAGAAAAAAGAAAGGGUCACAUGCAUGGCAGAAGCUCGGCUGUUAGCCCUAAGGGCCAGCACUGUACAAGGAGGAAUCACAAUCCUGUGCUGAGUUCUAGAUUUUUGGUCUGGAGACCUUCAAAUUCUGAGUAUUAUCCCUAGACAAAUGGGGGAGACCACGCCCAUAGAGAGAAGUCAGGUGGCCUAAGCUAUAGAGAGGAGGGAUACAAAGGGAAAGAAUCAGGAAGUGCCUUAUCCCCACGUAGGGUCAACCAGUAGGUCUAUACCAGCUUUGUGGGAAAGCUCUUAAUUAUUUGUCUGAGAGCUUUGUCUAUGACUCUGACCUAUUCAAAUAGUCAUUAUGAACUUGAAUGAAAACAAGGAUAUGAAAAUAAAAUUUGUGAACAACACAGAGUUAGAG